GAGUUUGAUCAUGGCUCAGAUUGAACGCUGGCGGCAUGCCUUACACAUGCAAGUCGAGCGGCAGCGCGGGGGCAACCCUGGCGGCGAGCGGCGAACGGGUGAGUAAUGCAUCGGAACGUGUCCUCUUGUGGGGGAUAACCAGUCGAAAGACUGGCUAAUACCGCAUGAGAUCGAGAGAUGAAAGCAGGGGACCGCAAGGCUUUGCGCGAGAGGAGCGGCCGAUGCCGGAUUAGCUAGUUGGUGGGGUAAAGGCCUACCAAGGCGACGAUCCGUAGCUGGUCUGAGAGGACGACCAGCCACACUGGGACUGAGACACGGCCCAGACUCCUACGGGAGGCAGCAGUGGGGAAUUUUGGACAAUGGGGGCAACCCUGAUCCAGCCAUGCCGCGUGUGUGAAGAAGGCC
rnacentral:rRNA from 1 species